rnacentral:rRNA from 1 species
GACGAACGCUGGCGGCGUGCUUAACACAUGCAAGUCGAACGGAAAGGCCUCUUUCGGGGGGUACUCGAGUGGCGAACGGGUGAGUAACACGUGAGUAACCUGCCCUUGACUUUGGGAUAACUUCAGGAAACUGGGGCUAAUACCGGAUAGGAGCUCCUGCUGCAUGGUGGGGGUUGGAAAGUUUCGGCGGUUGGGGAUGGACUCGCGGCUUAUCAGCUUGUUGGUGGGGUAGUGGCUUACCAAGGCUUUGACGGGUAGCCGGCCUGAGAGGGUGACCGGCCACAGUGGGACUGAGAUACGGCCCAGACGCCUGCGGGAGGCAGCAGUGGGGAAUAUUGCACAAUGGGUGGAAGCCUGAUGCAGCAACGCCGUGUGCGGGAUGACGGCCUUCGGGUUGUAAACCGCUUUCGCUCAUGACGAAGCUUUGUGUGACGGUAGUGGGUAAAGAAGCACCGGCUAACUACGUG